CCCUUAGAUGUCCUGGGCCGCACGCGUGCUACACUGACGCCUACAGCGAGUACUUCCCAGCCCCGAGAGGUGGCUGGUAAUCAGCAAUAGGCGUCGUGAUGGGGAUAGAUCUUUGGAAUUAUGGAUCUUGAACGAGGAAUGCCUAGUAAGCGCAGGUCAUUAGCCUGCGCUGAUUAAGUCCCCGCCCUUUGUACACACCGCCCGUCGCUCCUACCGAUUUCGAGUGGUCCGGUGAAUCUUUCGGACUGCGCGCGGCCUCGUGCCGUGUCGCGGAAAGUCAGGUAAACCUUAUCACUUAGAGGAAGGAGAAGUCGUANCA
rnacentral:rRNA from 1 species